rnacentral:rRNA from 1 species
CCUACGGGAGGCAGCAGUGAGGAAUAUUGGUCAAUGGCCGAGAGUCUGAACCAGCCAAGUCGCGUGAGGGAAGACGGCCCUACGGGUUGUAAACCUCUUUUGUCGGGGAGCAAAGAGAGUCACGUGUGACUCAUUGAGAGUACCCGAAGAAAAAGCAUCGGCUAACUCCGUGCCAGCAGCCGCGGUAAUACGGAGGAUGCGAGCGUUAUCCGGAUUUAUUGGGUUAAAGGGGGGCGCAGGCGGGGGUGCAAGUCAGCGGUCCAAUUGCGGGGCUAAACCGCGGACUGCCGUUGAAACUGCAUGCCUUGAGUGGGCGAGAGGUAUGCGGAAUGCGUGGUGUAGCGGUGAAAUGCAUAGAUAUCACGCAGAACUCCGAUUGCGAAGGCAGCAUACCGGCGCGCAACUGACGCUCAUGCACGAAAGCGUGGGUAUCGAACAGGAUUAGAUACCCGAGUAGUC